AAACAAAACAAAACAAAAAAGAAAGACAUGGACCCAAACAUAGAGACACUGCUUCCAGCAGAUCAGGCAGUAUGGGGUGCCUUAACCACAGACAUCUGUCUAAUGUUAGGUACCAAAACCCUGUGGAGCAUUGAGACUGGAAUUCUCUAAAGACAGGCAAGUGACACUGAAACUCCACUACUGUACUGGUAGAACACUUUUCUUCACAUUAUUUCAAAUAUUUGACUACUUCAUUUACCUUUCACUAGGGUUAGUUUAACAUAGAUGGAUAUUAUGUAAAUUCUAUCAUGUUGGCUUCCAAAACAACGGAAUGUUAAAAAAUAUGCUGAUAGUCAUUCCAGCUUAAUAGCUGCAAGGGUCAAACACAAGAAGUCUUAUGUGCAUACUGCAUAGCAUAAAGUGAGGAUGGGGACUGGACCUGUCUUCUUGCCUUUUCUGAGAGCAUCAUUUGCUCCAAGGAGCAACUUCUGUAUUUUGAGGAAGCGGACUGUAGUUCAGGAUGGUGAUUAGUUACACAAUAACAAUUUUUGCUAUAUGUUGCCUUCCCCUUAGAAUACAAAGUUUAGAGAUGUUAAUGUUCUCAUGCCAGUAAAGACAAAUAUCCUCUAUUAAAAAGGACAUUUAAUAUGGCUUAGUGAAAUCAUCACUCUUAUCCCCAGACUCAUAUUUUGAAAUGCUGCAGUUGGAAACAACAAGCUCGAGCAAUGAAGACUUCAUCUGUCACGUUGACCUGGGCGGUAAGGGACAUACUGCAGGCAGCCAUCACUAACUGCCUGAGCAAGAUGACUUAUGCGACCAAACAGGUCUUCUAAUUUCUGAAUGAUCAUGUCAGACACUUUCAUCUACCGUGUAAUUACUUAUUUGCCCUUAGGCAGUUCAUUUGGUUCCCAUUAUCAUAAAACUAUACCUCUUGAUGCAGCCUAACAUGUUGGUUCAAGUACUCUUCGAAUCCUCCUGAAUUUCCCUCCUGUAAUGUAAUGUAAGUUUUCUGUCUUCAUAGAAGGUAAGAGAUUCUGGACUUAUAAUGAGAAACUGCACUUUAGGGAGCUGAGAUGGUUAUUUCUGUGCUUUACCACAGCCUCAGCUCUCAGCUCGGUAAACAUUUGGACUGCUAAACCAGAAAUCUCCAUGUAUCAACACUGGCCACCAUCACCCAAGAAAAUCCCAUUGCUGACACACAUCAGCAAACAGCAACUAAGUUAGAACUUCUCAGGCUAUAGUUUAUAUGACAGGGCAGAUGAAGAGCUUGUUUUAAUUAUAAGCUUCUACGGAAAAAUAAUAAAAUCUGAGUAGCAACAGCCACGUAUCUAACCCUAAAAGGAAGCUACAAAUGUGUUCAGUAAAGGCACCCAGCACUGAUUUGUCUCACCACAUGCACUCGGAGUUGCUGGUGAUGCCACAGGCGGAAGGAAUGUCACUGCUGUCACCACAUGCUCAGUCCCAUAGGCAGAUGAAGGUAGUUUUGCUCCAGUUUGACACCUCUAUUCAAGAUUGUGCCCAGAUUGUGAAAAACAGCAGACUUGCUAUGAAUCUUACAAAGUCAAUUUAGAGCUUGUUAGGUCUCCAAGAUACUCUUCUAAACUAGAAGCAUAGGUAAUUUGGAAUUAGAUGCCUGGUAACUUAGUCCAAUAGGGAGCUAUUGGUAUGGUUUUAGACAACUCUUUCAAAGUUAUAACCAUUAUCUCAGACUCAAGUUUGCUGUUAAUACCUCCUCUACAUGGCUGGAAACAUUACAGUGGUGCAAAUGAGAAUCCAGUCCAUCAUUCUUAAUGUACGCUACACUGGACAUAAAAUCCAUUUUCCUACCUUUGCAUCAGCCCCAGAUACACGGAAACUGCUGGCACCCACAGUAGGGUGAGAUGCAGUGAUACCAGAUGAAGAGCUAAUGCUGUAGUGCCAAGCCAUUAGGAACCCAGACAUAAAGAGACAUAAACCAGCACUAUGUACUCGCAGUCUGAUGAGAGACUGAAAAUGAAAACAGCCAAUAUCAAGACUAUUAAAAGACUGUUUUCAGGUUAGAGUCCUUGUCUAGUAUGCAAUCCCACUCUAAAGGCCUGACUCUACUGGAAUCAAGAAAAAACAGGCCUUUGGGGAGAUCUGAUAAGAAAUGGAAUAAGACAAUACUUUUUAAUUAGUUGAUAGAUGCUGGUUAGGACUAUGAUACUAUUUCAAGGGCUUGUGGCAUUCAGAUUUCUAAUCUAGUAAGUUUAUUGUGUGUGGCAGAGGCAGAGUACCUUAUGGAGAAGUUUGUCUGGAGCAGAAGCUCUGAAAAUGAUUCCAGAAACUGACAGUGCACACACAGCAGAGAGAUUUCCAUAAACUACUGUGUCCCUCUCUGGUGAGAUCCCACAGCCGAUCACUGGGGAGUGAGAAAGUUAAGAGCUUUCUUCCCAAGCAGGUGACAUCACAAGAACUGGCCAGACACCUAAGAACUGUGCACAUCCCACCAAACUUGCUGGUUUGCACUGGGACUUAGUCACCACUGGAAACCCCAUGUGUUGCUCUGCCUUUACCAACAGCUUUUUCUGGAAACUCCCCAUACACAAAUGGUCCAACAGAGAUGAGAAAGAAUCAAAUUAAAAUAAGAAGCUUGCUGUGUCCUAAACCAUUUGUGUAUCCACUGGAGUGAUAUGGCUGGGGACUGCAGAAGUUCCUGUUGAACUUGGAGUGCUGUCAAGCAGUGUUAGCAUGGAAUGAAAAGAGACUAUUUGUAACCAUGUGAUUAUCUGAAACUUGUAAUAAAAACACAUCACAACAGGGAGUAUGAGAUACACUAGCGCAGAUAGAUCCCACGUCUGGGAACUGAUUUCCUACUACACCUUCUUUUAUCAUGAGGAAAGCCAGGAUAAGUACUUAGCACAAGUAUUUUUUCUUCAUUCCCUAUAUUCAUGUACUACUACAGUAGGGAGCAGAUGUCACUUAUUUUUACUUGUGAUCCUACACUAGUUUUCACCAUAGGCUCUAUGUCUAGACGCCGAAGUGGCUCCAUACCAUUCACAAAGGGAGGAGAUGCAGUGCUGACCAUUCUGUAAAUAGCUGCUACCUUCCUCUGCUCAUCCCACCUUAGGCUACAAAAAAUGUGCGAGAUCUGCAAAGAAUGGAAC